CAAGGAAUUUUCGUCAAUGGGCGCAAGCCUGAACGAGCAACGCCGCGUGGAGGAUGACGGCCUUCGGGUUGUAAACUCCUUUUUCGGGGGACGAUAAUGACGGUACCCCGGGAAUAAGGCUCGGCUAACUCUGUGCCAGCAGCCGCGGUAAUACAGAGGAGCCAAGCGUUGUCCGGAUUGACUGGGCGUAAAGCGCACGCAGGCGGUUGCGCGCGUGGGGUGUGAAAUCUGGCCGCUUAACGGCCAGGCGCCAUCCCAUACGGCGCGACUGGAGGGCUGCAGAGGUCGAUGGAAUUGCCGGUGUAGUGGUGAAAUGCGUAGAGAUCGGCAGGAACACCCAGGGGGAAACCAGUCGACUGGGCAGCACCUGACGCUGAGGUGCGAGAGCGUGGGGGAGCGAACCGGAUUAGAUACCCGGGUAGUCCACGCCGUAAACGAUGGCCACUCGGCCUUUGGAGGCGGAAUCUCCGUCUUGGGGGCCUUAGCUAACGCGGGAAGUGGCCCG
rnacentral:rRNA from 1 species